GUCCCAGUUCAGAUCGCAGUCUGCAACCGACUGCGUGAAGUCGGAAUCGCUAGUAAUCGCGGAUCAGCAUGCCGCGGUGAAUACGUUCCCGGGCCUUGUACACACCGCCCGUCACACCAUGAGAGUCGGGAACACCCGAAGUCCGUAGCCUAACCGCAAGGGGGGCGCGGCCGAAGGUGGGUUCGAUAAUUGGGGUGAAGUCGUAACAAGGUAGC
rnacentral:rRNA from 1 species